GACAGAGGGUGCUAGCGUUGUUCGGAAUGACUGGGCGUAAAGGGCGCGUAGGUUGUUGUAUCAGUCAGGCGUGAAAGCCCCGGGCUUAACCUGGGAAUUGCGUUUGAGACGGUAUGACUAGAGUGCGAUAGAGGAAAGUGGAAUUCCUAGUGUAGAGGUGAAAUUCGUAGAUAUUAGGAGGAACAUCAGAGGCGGAGGCGGCUUUCUGGAUCGCAACUGACGCUGAGGCGCGAAAGCGUGGGGAUCAAACAGG
rnacentral:rRNA from 1 species